rnacentral:rRNA from 1 species
GACAGAGGGUGCAAGCGUUGUUCGGAAUUACUGGGCGUAAAGGGCGCGUAGGCGGUCUGCCAUGUCCGGUGUGAAAGCCCCCGGCUCAACUGGGGAACGGCAUUGGAAACUGGCAGACUAGAGUACCGGAGAGGAGGGUGGAAUUCCUGGUGUAGCGGUGAAAUGCGUAGAUAUCAGGAGGAACACCGGUGGCGAAGGCGGCCCUCUGGACGAGUACUGACGCUGAGGCGCGAAAGCGUGGGGAUCAAACAGG